rnacentral:rRNA from 1 species
AUUGAACGCUGGCGGCAGGCCUAACACAUGCAAGUCGAACGAGUGGAGGAAGGGUGAGUAAUGUCUGGGAAACUGCCUGAUGGAGGGGGAUAACUACUGGAAACGGUAGCUAAUACCGCAUACCAUCGGAUGUGCCCAGAUGGGAUUAGCUAGUCGGUGGGGUAAAGGCUCACCUAGGCGACGAUCCCUAGCUGGUCUGAGAGGAUGACCAGCCACACUGGAACUGAGACACGGUCCAGACUCCUACGGGAGGCAGCAGUGGGGAAUAUUGCACAAUGGGCGAAAGCCUGAUGCAGCCAUGCCGCGUGUGUGAAGAAGGCCUUCGGGUUGUAAAGUACUUUCAGCGGGGAGGCGUUACCCGCAGAAGAAGCACCGGCUAACUCCGUGCCAGCAGCCGCGGUAAUAC